AAUAUUGCGCAAUGGGCGAAAGCCUGACGCAGCGACGCCGCGUGAGCGAAGAAGGCCUUCGGGUCGUAAAGCUCUGUCCUCAGGGAAGAAGGAAGUGACGGUACCUGAGGAGGAAGCCCCGGCUAACUACGUGCCAGCAGCCGCGGUAAUACGUAGGGGGCUAGCGUUGUCCGGAUUUACUGGGCGUAAAGGGUGAGUAGGCGGUUGCAUAAGUCAGAUGUAAAAGGCUAAGGCUUAACCAUAGUAUGCAUUUGAAACUGUGUGACUUGAGAACAGGAGAGGUAAGUGGAAUUCCUAGUGUAGCGGUGAAAUGCGUAGAUAUUAGGAGGAACACCAGUGGCGAAGGCGACUUACUGGACUGUAACUGACGCUGAGUCACGAAAGCGUGGGUAGCAAACAGG
rnacentral:rRNA from 1 species